GAGAGGUCUCUGUAUCCUGACACACGCGUGUGCAAACAGGCAGGGAAAAGGAUUCCUGGUCUGAGAAUGGGUUUUCCUGCUGUGGUGCUGCUUCCCUCCAGGUUAUAAACGCACACACCAAGGUUCUAGAGUGAUGUCCCAGGCCAACAGAAAUUAUAUUUAGGAGAGAAUAGAUUUGUAAGUUGUUCUUAGUUCUGCUACCAGAAUUCAUUCAUUUCCUCUUCAACUCUACACUCACUGGCAGAGUCGUUAGCUGUUGGCUUCUGGCUGUAACAUUUGCUCCUGCUUCAUCUCUGCAUUUACAGAUCACUGGGGGUUUAGGCACAUCUGGCAAACCACAUGGCACCUGCUCCUCAGUCUCUAACCCCUCUGCAUCCAACCUUUUCCCUGCAGGAACAGGAACCAGUACGACUCCCGUGGAGCCGCGGUGUCGGAGGGGGAACGCAGGGGAAAGGUGUGAUCCGGCUGCAUCUCCUGACUGCCAGACUGGGGACGAGCAGGAAGGAUUGUUGCGAGGAGAGCUCCUGCCCAGAACUGAGGAUCCUGUUACAGAGGAGGGACUCGGAACUUCAACAUAAAGCCUCAGCAAAGCAGGCGUGUGCCACCGGCUGCACCUUCUGCAGCGCCUGCGACAGGAACUGGAAGUGGACCUGCAGCACCGUCAGGAAACACCGCCCCAGGACCUGCCGGAGAAGACACAGACCCAUUCAAGCAAACAGAAGAUUUCACAGAAGCCUUUGGGGUACUUCCCAAAACGUCAGAAGUGUUUUCUCCAGCUUCACUGAUUGCAAGAGACACAAAGGGACACGGAGGACUGUCAGGCAAAUGGCCUUUGGCACCCCUGGUUUGUGCUCCGGAGCCAGAAGGGGUGCAAUCCCCGUCCCCCCGUCGGGGAUCAUCCCGCUACGAUGAGGGGCAACCCUUCCCUGCACUGAGAUGGGAAACGGAGCGGAGGAACCCGUGAGUAAAAGGAUAUACUAAGUGGGUCUUCUGAGCUGGAAUCCUGUCCCUCACACCAC